UAUCCAGGGGAUUGGGAUGGUGUGACUGGGAGUGCAUUAGACACUUCUCUGAGGUGAGAGGGGCUAUAUCCAGGGGGUUGGGAUGGUGUGACUGGGAGUGCAUUAGACACUUCUCUGAGGUGUGUGUGGGGUCUCCACUCAUCCCAUUUCAGUCUCUCAGAGGACCCACUCACCCCAAGCAGUCCCACACCAGCCACUAUACUUUCAUUUACAUUUAUAAGGUAAUACAAGCUGAUAACAAUACUUAAGUGGAAGACUUUCUUUAAAUGUAUGUACAGUGUAUCCACAGUUUUUUGUUGUUGGUACAUUAGGAGAGGCAUAAAAAGGCAUAGUGCUUCAAGUACAAAGAGAUACUUUGGUUUGUUAUGUAUUAUUGUAUUUCUUUGCCCACAUGCUCUAAAUACA